AGACAACGGAGAUAAGAAGAACAUUCUAACUAAGAAGCCUUCUAAGAUUAAUCCCUGCAUUUGGAGAAGAUUAACAUCGCAGAAAGAUAAAUACUGGAAAUGACUGGACAAAGGCAGAAGAAAGUAGAGGAGAUUAAAUUAUCACCAGAGGAGAUAAAAAUGCAGAACAAGAGACACAGGACAGCAUACAAAUGUUU